rnacentral:tRNA from 1 species
GCCCUGGUGGCACAACGGUUAAGCACUUGGCUGCUAACCAAAAGGCUGGUGGUUCAAACCCACCCAAGGACU